CAAAACACAAUCUCCCCAGGAGUGGCU
rnacentral:piRNA from 1 species